rnacentral:rRNA from 1 species
CCAAUAGCGUAUAUUAAAGUUGUUGCAGUUAAAAAGCUCGUAGUUGAAUUUCGGGAUCAAAUUGUCGGUCGUGCCUCGGUACGUACUGGUAUUAUUGGUUCCUCCCUUCUGACGAACCACGAUGUCAUUAAUUUGGUGUCAUGGGAAAUCAGGACUGUUACUUUGAAAAAAUUAGAGUGUUUAAAGCAGGCUCGCGCUUGAAUACAUUAGCAUGGAAUAAUGAAAUAGGACGUUUGAUUCUAUUUUGUUGGUUUCUAGGAUCGACGUAAUGAUUAAUAGAGAUAGUUGGGGGCAUUAGUAUUCAAUUGUCAGAGGUGAAAUUCUUGGAUUUAUUGAAGACUAACUACUGCGAAAGCAUUUGCCAAGGAUGAUUUCAUUAAUCAAGAACGAAAGUUAGGGGAUCGAAGACGAUCAGAUACCGUCGUAGUCUUAACCAUAAACUAUGACGACUAGGGAUCGGAUGAUGUUAAUUUUUUAAUGACUCAUUCGGCGCCUUACG